UCACUGACACUGUGAACUAAGCAAUAAGGAGGAGAACCAGCUUGUUCACCCAGUUUGUCCCUCUUCAUCCAUGUUUUUAUGACAGAAAAGAGAGUACUUUGGCUGCCUGGAAAUGGAACAGCUCAAAUGGAACAGCUAUCGGUCCUCUGUCACUAUACAAGAGGUUUUUUUUAUGUCAUCCAAAAAGCUUUGAAUCAUAUGUCUUUGUAAAGUUCACUCACACACACUAUGCACACAAAAAAACGAUCAGUUGAUCAGCAUGCAGUAUGCCCCAUGUGACCGCUAUAGUUUCAAUAAGAACUUAUGGAUUAUUGACGAUUAAAUAUAAAGCAUAGUAGGGCUAUAUGUAUAUGUUAUGUUCAUAUACAUUAUAUGUAUAUUUUUCUUAUAGUAUAUAGUAUAUGUUUUCUUUUUCCUAUAAUGAUAAGAAAUAUCUUCGCAAAUAUUUCACAAUGCAGUAAUUAAAAGGUAGUAUUAGAUUAUGAAACUGAAAUCGAACAAGCUGUAAUUAUAUAUUGGACGUCUUUUAUAUUGCUGUAUUACACAAUGGGUCCGUUUAUUAAAGGACAAUUCCGGUAUUUUGAACAUUGAACCUACCACCGGAAACCGGACCGGAAACGGAAACUGAAAGGGGGGCUGCUUGGUUCUCUCUAUAAUAGAGCUCGUAUGUAUGCCUCUUCCGGUAGACCCCUCAUGGGACUUCUGGGCGAGGAAAUUCGAAUGGGAGUCAAUGGAAAGAAAUGUUUUGUGUGGGUCCAAAUAAUAAUUGUUCACUGCAAAGAGUUUGACCGUUUAUUGCACAAUUGUUCAGUUAAAGGCUGUAGAGAAAACACAAUGAGAAAGACUACACGUCUCGUAUGUGACGUCACGCUCCCUGCGACUGGCGUGGACAAGACCGACAAUCUCCCUAUCGUCAUAACUGGAAAUCUACACAUGGCCCGAUUUAUAAUGGUUUUCACCUCUCUCGAUGCUGUUAUCCUCCCCUUGGAAAAAAAGCGGUGAAGUGGAGCAGAGAGAUCGUCAUGUCUGUACAAGAGUUGUGGUGACGUAUUAUCAUUCGCGUCGAGAGCAGCGAGGGGCUGUAGUUCACAAAGCGGCCUCACACAAAGCCUAACAUUAUCAAACUUCCUCGCGAAUUUUUUUUGUUUUCUUUGCAUGAGGAAUUAUAAUAUAAAUCCACAAACAACAUAUGUGUAAUCCAGGGCAUAUAAAGACUGGGACCAGAAAAUAAUUACUUUCUCUCGAUUGACUCCCAUUCAUAUUUUACGAUCUCAGAGGUCCCAUGGGGGUCUACCGGAAGGGGCGGACUUACGAGCACUAUAGAGUGGCGAAGUCACGCCCCUUCCGGUAGGGCUCAUGGGACCUAUGAGAUCGAAAAAUAUGAAUGGGUGUCAAUGGAGAGAAAAUAAUUAUUUUCUGGUCCCAGUCUUUAUAUGCCCUGGAUUACACAUAUGUUGUUUGUGGAUUUAAAUGAUAAUUUUUCAUGCAAAGAAAACUAAAAAUGUUCGUGAAGAAGUUUGAUAAUUUUAGGUUUUAUGUGAGGCCGCUUUGUGAACUACAGCUCUUCGCUGCUCUCGACGCAUAUGAUAUACGUCACCACACCCGCCCUUGGAACUCGGCACAGAGAUGGCGAUCUCUCUGCCCCACUUCACCGCUUUUUCCAAGGGGAGGAUAAAAGCAUCGAAAGAGGUGAAAACCAUUAUAAGUCGGGGCACGUGCAGAGUUUCAGUUAUGCCGAUGGGAAGAUUGUCGGUCUUCUCCACGCCAGUCGCAGGGAGCGUGACGUCACAUACGAGCAGUGUAGUCUUUCUCGUUGUGUUUUCUCUACAGCCUUUAUCUGAACAAUUGCACAAUAAACGGUCGAACUCUUUGCAUGAAAAAUUAUCCUUUAAAUCCACAAACAACAUAUGUGUAAUCCAGGGCAUAUAAAGACCGGGACCAGAAAAUAAUUAUUUUCUCUCCAUUGACACCCAUUCAUAUUUUUCGAUCUCAUAGGUCCCAUGAGCCCUACCGGAAGGGGCGUGACUUCGCCACUCUAUAGGUCCAUUUUAUCGCCCCACUGUUGAGACGUAACCCAUGGACCUAUUAUAAAACCGAGAGGGCCGAGCGAAAAGACUACAACCCACCCCCCUUUCCGUUUCCGGUCCGGUUUCCGUUUCAAUGGAUUUACAAAAUGCCAAAUCGCACACGCAGAAACUUUAUUUCGCUACGAUACUUGAUUAGGAACAUCAACGAACACCACUUACCACUCGUUUCCGUCCGGGAGCGGGCAGCUGGAGGGGUGGCCGGGGACGGCGCCUACGUUGGGGGCUCUUCCUGCUGGAAGAAGAUGUUCCAUGCCAGCAAACCACUCUGGCUGCUUACUGGAACCAAUGUGGAGUACCAGCAGAUCCUUUCAGCCGGGAGGGGAGAGGAAGAGGAGACGAGAUGGAGAGGAGAAGAAGAGUUGGAGAGGAGAAAGGAGGAGAGGAUAAGAGAAGAGUAAAGGAGGCGAGAGGAGGAGAGAGCAGAGAGGACCGGAGAGUUCAAUUCGAAAGGGCCCCAUGUUACAACAACAGACCUUGGACCUAAUGAGACCCCGCAUCCUCCACUCACCGCUUCACAGUUGAGGCAGCGUGUCUCGUUGGUCAACGUCCCCUGGAAGAUCUCAUGCACCCAG